rnacentral:rRNA from 1 species
UACGGAGGUUCCAAGCGUUGUUCGGAAUUACUGGGCGUAAAGGGAGCGCAGGCGGACAAGUCAGUCUAAAGUGAAAUCCCGGGGCUUAACCUCGGACUUGCUUCGGAUACUGCUUGUCUUGAGUUCGUGAUAGGAAGAUGGAAUUCAGGGUGUAGCGGUGAAAUGCACAGAUAUCCUGAGGAACACCGGUGGCGAAAGCGGUCUUCUGGCGCGAAACUGACGCUGAGGCUCGAAAGCGUGGGUAGCAAACGGG